rfam:Citrus clementina cultivar Clemenules unplaced genomic scaffold scaffold_2, whole genome shotgun sequence.
CCGACCUUAGCUCAGUUGGCAGAGCGGAGGACUGUAGUGGAACAGCUGUCAUCCUUAGGUCGCUGGUUCGAAUCCGGCAGGUCGGA